CUGAUCUCUCCCAGAAAAACUGAGGGGAACAAAGAUCGAAUCAGAACCCAGAACAUUUUUGUCCUUCUUUCCUCAGAAUUUUGAUUUAUUUCUCCAAUUGGAAAAUUUGAGUAAAGGAAAUGUGUGGAAUAUUUGCGUAUUUGAAUUACAACGUUAACAGAGAAAGAAGGUAUAUUCUUCAAGUUCUCUUCAAUGGCCUUCGUCGUCUCGAGUAUCGAGGCUACGAUUCCGCUGGAAUUUCCAUCGAUGACUACUUCUCAGUUUCUCGCAAUCCAAACACCCCUCAACCAUCCUCCAUCAAUUCUCUCUCUUCUUCCCCUCUCGUUUUCCGCCAGGAAGGCAACAUCGAGUCCCUCGUCAAAUCCGUUUACCAAGAGGUAGCUGCAACAGAGUUGAACUUGGAGGAAUCCUUUACUACCCAUGCUGGUAUAGCACACACCAGAUGGGCUACCCAUGGGGUGCCUGCUCCAAGGAAUAGUCAUCCUCAGACUUCUGGCUCUGGGAAUGACUUCUUGGUUGUUCACAAUGGUGUUAUCACUAAUUAUGAGGUUUUGAAAGAGACCCUUGUUCGACAUGGAUUCACUUUUGAAUCUGAAACAGACACAGAAGUAAUACCAAAGCUUGCCAAAUUUGUCUUUGACAAAGCAAAUGAAGAAGGUGACCAGACUGUCACAUUCAGUCAAGUAGUACUUGAAGUUAUGAGGCAUCUUGAGGGAGCUUAUGCCCUCAUUUUCAAAAGUCGGCAUUAUCCAAAUGAGCUUAUUGCUUGCAAGCGUGGUAGUCCAUUGCUCUUAGGUGUCAAAGAAUUAAAUGAUGACGUCUGCAAUGGAUCAGCAUUUCAUGAUGCUAAAUUUCUCUCAAAAAAUGGCAAUCCUAAGGAACUUUUCUUAUCAAGUGAUGCAAAUGCAAUCAUUGAACACACAAAGAAAGUUCUGGUCAUCGAGGAUGGUGAAGUAGUUCAUCUUAAGGAAGGAGGUGUAUCAAUCCUAAAAUUUAAUAAUGACAAAGGAAGAAAUGGUGAUAGUCUUUCUGAUAGGCCUGCAUCAGUGCAACGUGCAUUAUCUAUUCUUGAAAUGGAGGUUGAGCAAAUAAAUAAGGGAAAAUACAAGCAUUAUAUGCAGAAAGAAAUUCAUGAACAGCCAGAAUCUCUGACAACUACCAUGAGAGGGAGGCUUCUACGUGGAGGUUCCUGCAAGGCUAAGACUGUUCUUUUGGGUGGACUGAAGGAUCACCUUAAAACAAUUAGGCGGAGCCGAAGGAUUGUAUUUAUUGGUUGUGGUACGAGUUACAAUGCUGCUCUAGCUGCUAGACCCAUCUUGGAAGAACUCUCAGGGGUGCCUGUUACAAUGGAAAUUGCUAGUGAUCUAUUAGAUCGGCAAGGUCCUAUAUACAGAGAGGAUACGGCAGUUUUUGUCAGUCAAUCUGGUGAAACGGCUGAUACAUUGCUUGCUCUAGAGUAUACGCUGGAAAAUGGUGCACUAUGUGUUGGCAUCACAAAUACUGUUGGGAGUGUAAUAGCUCGGAAUACACACUGCGGGGUUCAUAUAAAUGCUGGUUGUGAGAUUGGUGUUGCAAGUACCAAGGCAUAUACAAGUCAAAUAGUUGUGAUGGCCAUGUUAGCUUUGGCAAUUGGAGGUGACACAAUUUCUAAGCAAGAGAGGAGGGAGGCUAUAAUAGAUGGUUUAUUUGACCUGCCAAAUAAAAUCAGAGAGGUACUGAAGCUUGACCAGGAAAUGAAGGAUCUUGCAAAGCUAUUGAUUGCUGAACAGUCGCUUCUUGUCUUCGGGAGAGGAUACAAUUAUGCAACUGCUUUGGAAGGUGCUCUAAAAGUGAAGGAAGUUGCACUUAUGCAUAGUGAGGGGAUACUUGCUGGUGAAAUGAAGCAUGGUCCCUUGGCAUUAGUUGAUGAAAAUCUUCCUAUUGUUGUGAUUGCUACCCGUGAUGCUUGCUUCAGUAAGCAGCAGUCAGUUAUUCAGCAGCUACGUGCCCGGAAAGGACGCUUGAUAGUAAUGUGUUCAAAAGGAGAUGCUGCAUCAGUGUGUCCUGGAGGCGGCUGUCGAGUAAUUGAAGUUCCUCAGGUUGAGGACUGUCUUCAACCUGUGGUUAAUAUAGUUCCAUGUCAGUUACUUGCGUAUCAUCUCACUGUGUUAAGGGGAUACAAUGUUGACCAGCCUCGGAAUCUUGCAAAAAGCGUGACCACACAGUGAAGAAUGCUUACUGAUGAACUUCAAUCACGCACCUCUGUAAAUUAUUGGAGGGUGACACAGUACACAUUCUUUUGCCUCUUAUUUUUCCUUUUUCAAAUUAUUUUCAAGAUGAAUUAAUUACGUAUUUCUGAAUUAAAAGUAAUGAUGGUUUUAUCAUUUAUGCUUUCAGUUCCUGGAAAGACAUUCAUACUAAAAAUUUUGGGACUAUAUGACAUAAUGUUUGAUGAAAUGGCUCAAACCAGAAAUACAGCCAUUUUAUUAAUUCUUGGUCCUUUUCUUGAGUUCAAUCUUGUUAAAUAAAGCCAAUAACAGCGGGGAGAAUGUUUGAUUCACAGGUGUCGACAUCUAUAUUAAUGCGUUCUUUAAGCCAAUGAUAAAGCAGGUUACUUGAGAUAGUAAUUUUCUCAAACUCAGUUUGCUAGUAUCUCGCAGAAUCAGUGUGGACUUUCUUUUUUCCUUUUUUAAUCAAUACAAUAUUGGAGGCAAGGAUGGGAAUAAUAAUAAUAAUAUUUGAAUCUAUGUCAUCUAGGUGUUUGAGGGGAGUUUUGAUUACUACUCAAGUGCCGGCAGUUGGACAAGGAAUGAAUAGCUAAAAACUGAUGGGAGUGAGCAACCAAGGAAGUUUUUCUCAUACAUAUUUUUUGUAAGUGAAAAGUUCUUUUAAUUCUUUCUUGAAAGAAGUUGAGUUCCACCAAGUAGAUAUGGUGUCCUUUACGUAGGCAAUCUUAGUAGUUAAAAGACGAAAUGGUCACUAUUACAGGUGACAUUUUACAUGAGCUAAAACAAGCUAAUGGAUAAUCCCACUACUAGCUUUUACACGUGAAAAUAAAAACUGAGACAUAAAAUCCCAAAAUAUUGACACAA